CAUCUCGGUCUCAACCAUACUUAUGCAUGCAACGUUUCAAAUCCACCUUAGAUCAUACCAUACAACCUCUUCCAAAUUAUCAAUCUUGCUACAACACCCUCAGUAGCCGGACUCUAUAUAUAUAUAUAGAGCGCGCGCGCGCGCGAGAGAGAGAGAGAGAGAGAGAGAGAGAGAGAGUCCGGCUACUAUACUCGUAUGAGUACGAUCGCCUUCGUACUCAUAAGUUAUUUUCGAUGAUAGAGCUUCCGAAUCGACGAUCCAUUUUGUUAAACAUUAUCUAGAGCAUUUAAAACUUCUAGAAAUCAAAUUUUAUAAUUUUUCGAUAUCAUUUACCUUACGAUCAAAAGCUCACAAAAUUGACAAGUUUUAACGGCCGGUAUGACAUAUUUGCUAGUUUAAUUGUGAAAAAGAAUCGGAAUAGGUUGAAUUUUUGAUAAAAAAUUCUAUUCACUACCUAAAUAAAGAUCAAUAACUCCGAUCUUAAAUUGAAGAAUCCGAUCAUCCAUUUUUAGGAUGUAGUUCGAUUUUAACCGUUUAUUUUAUACCCGCUUGAUGGACUUUAUAAUGAUUUCGAAAAAUUACGAAAUUUAUUUUCUAGAUGUUUCAAAUACUCUAGAUCAUGUUUAACGGUGUGGAUCGUCAAUUCGAAAAUCCCAACAUCAAAAACAACUUAUGAGUAUGAAGAGCUCUAUACUCAUAAGAGUAUAGUAGCCCUACUAUAUAUAUAUACUAGUAAAUUACCCGCGCGAUGCUGCGGAUUUAAAAUAUUUUAAUUAUAAAUUUUAAUUAAAAUAUUUAUAUUAUUUUAAUUUUUAACUAUUAAUUAUAUAAAUUUAAAAAUAAUCUGAAUAAAAAUAAUGUAAAUUGGUUUAUGUGCUACAAAAUUUUUUAUAAGAAUUUGUAAGUAACUAAAUAAUUUUAUAA
rnacentral:lncRNA from 1 species